rnacentral:rRNA from 1 species
UAGGCGUAAAUGAUGCGAGUUAAGUGUGGGGGCAUCUACGAGAUGGCCCUGUGCUGUAGGGUAGCCGUUAAACUCGCUGCCUGGGGAGUACGGUCGCAAGGCUGAAACUUAAAGGAAUUGGCGGGGGAGCACCGCAACGGGAGGAGCGUGCGGUUCAAAUUGGAUUCAACGCCGAAAAACUCACCAGGAGCGACGGAUAUAUGAAGGUCAAGCUGAUGACUUUACCUGAUUUCCGAGAGGUGGUGCAUGGCGUAGUCGUGU